UACAGAGGGGGCAAGCGUUGUUCGGAAUUACUGGGCGUAAAGGGCGCGUAGGCGGCCUUCUAAGUCAGACGUGAAAUCCCCGGGCUCAACCCGGGAACUGCGUCUGAGACUGGAAGGCUUGAAUCCGGGAGAGGGAUGUGGAAUUCCAGGUGUAGCGGUGAGAUGCGUAGAUAUCUGGAGGAACACCGGUGGCGAAGGCGGCAUCCUGGACCGGUAUUGACGCUGAGGCGCGAAAGCCAGGGGAGCAAACGGG
rnacentral:rRNA from 1 species